GAUCCCAAGACCCUGGGAUCAUGACUUGAGCCGAAGGAAGCCGCUUAACGACUGAGCCACCCAGGUGCCCCCGUGGAAAACUAUUCUUAAUGCACCAUUCUUGUUUACUACAUUUAUGUUAACUGAUCUUACUCUUUCCUCAGUGAGCUUAAGAUAGACUUUUGGAAGAAAUUAAUCUUUGUGUAUUCUGUAAGUGCUUAAUUUCUUUUCCUACAAGUGUGUUGCUUUAAAAAGAAUAAAAAAAAUUGUGACUGACACAGUGUCUAGAAACAAAUGAUCUCAGACAUCUCAGUCUAAUUACCAAUAAUGUUUUGCUGUUCAGCAGUUGUCACAUGAAGGUUUGGAAGCUAAAUACUUCUGCAAUCUCUGGAGUUGAGGGAGCUACGGACAUUGCAAGACCUGUGAAAAGGAAUGGUAUUUUUAGCCAUCUAAACAAAAAUUUUACAUAAAUGGCCCCAAAUUAUUAUUAAACAGACCUGCUGACUCUUGAUGCAAUCCAUACUUGGAAGUUUUACUUAAGUAUAAUUUUUUCUAGGCCUGGAGAACUUUAAGUUUUAGAGAGCUAGGUUUUCUUUGCAAACUCUACACCCAACUUAAUCCUAAAUUUUCCUUAUAGUGUUCAUUUUACCUUUUCAAUUUAGUGAUUGAUUUUUUUCUGCAUCAACCACUUGUGUCAAGCAUUUUCUCUUAUCCUUUUCUGGACAUGGUCAGAAAAAUGUCAUUUUUGUUGCCCUUGGUUUAUUAUCAGCUUUAACCAAUAGUAUUCAUUUUUCUAGUAGGUUGGUGCCCCUCGAUUGUUAGAUUACCAUGGUUUCUGUUCUGUUUAAUAAAAUUAGACUCAAUUAGACAUUAUGUAGGUUUCACUUUACUAGUCAGUUGGUAUACUCCUAUAUCCCUGUUCCAUUUCUUUUCAUUGCCUUGUUUUUCUUUCUCAAUUCUAGACCCAAAUAAUUCCUUAUGCAGACCUUCAAAUCAUAUGCGAGGUUCUCUUGUCCUCUGUUCACCAAAGAAGUAUCAUUUGGUCUGCUCAGGCCAUAUUGCCGUUAGUAGGGUCAUUCUUCAUAAUUCCCCUGGUGCCCACAUAACAGAAUCUCCUUGUGCAUUCUUUUCCAUUUCUGGGUAUUCAGCUUAGACCAGACUGACAAAAGGCUUCUCUAACCUUCCUUACUCAGGGUCCCUUCUCCCCACCACUCCUGUUGCUGCUACUGCUUCUCCUUUAUCUCUAGUUGACUCCAGUUUCUGGAAUCAGUGUUUAUCAUAAAAACAAACAAAAAUUACCUGUAUUCUUACUGAAUCCCCUGCUCCACAGAGUCACAGUUUGAGCCUUGGAUACCUGAUUUGCGUCAGAGAUACCGUCUCUGGUUUGACAAUCUCCAGAAAUCUGAGCAUCAAAGGGGAAAUUUGCUAAGUGUGCAAGGUGAAUGUUUGAACCUGAAUAUGAAGAAAGAGUAGACCUGCUUACUAAUAACUUUAGUUUAUGUGGCUUCCAAGAAGAGUAGACUUCAUUACAUGUUUUAGGACUCCCAUGGUUCUUGGUUCUCUAUUUUACUCUUCCAGAGACCAACAAGAGAUACCUUUUUGAAUUCACCCUAUGUGGACUGGACCAUGCCCAAGGAUUUUCAUGGGCAGCACAGUGGGUCUUAUGGUAACGUUCUUCUCAAGACUCUGAGAAGAGGUAGCAGAAAAGAUCUGUUAAGAAAUCUGGGCAUUUUAUAACCAGGUGAGAUCAGAUGACUCUUCUAUUGAAACAAGGAUCUCCAGACUGGGGAUUCAACAAGAGGGAAAGAAUGGCAUCUGUUACCAGAAAGUCAUUUCUGGUGCUCUUUGGAAGAAAAGAGAAAGACAGACAAAUCCUGAAUUCUUAUUUACCACAACAAUAUUCUAUUAAACUCUGUGUAUUAAAUACACAUCAUAUCAACCAUAUUAGCUAGCAAUUAAAUGAAGUGAGCCAAAAUGAACAAAUAUUCUUGAACAGUAAGUUCAACAUAAAAUAUAACAGAAAAGAAAAACUCUGGAUCUUUUUUUUUUUAAAAGCUAUUAGCAGGAUAACAUGUAUAUAAAGAUUCUAUCCUCAACAUGUCUGAAGCCAUGGCCAUCAGUAUUUUUCUCCCAACUAUUUUUCUUACUUGAGAAAUAAGGUAAAUUACACAGUCGUAUCCAACUUUACUGAAUAUGUUACUGAAAUAAUCAAUUUCAAGUUUUCUGUGAGACAGAACUUCUUUAUGAGAAUGUGAACAUAGCAGAGUGCUAACUUAGAGACUAACACUUUGCUUUCUAAGGAAGUAUCCUGGACAUCAAAAUCAACAAUUGAAUAUGACACAUCAACUCUCUCCUCCUUUCACCACAAAAAAUCGGUACAUGUUUAGCUUUGUUUGACUGCUGUUAAGUCCUUAAUAUUUUCUCCUGAGAAAAGGUAGAAGACAAAAGCCCAGAGCCAAGUUCUUUUCCAGGGGGCUGUGGAAGAAAGCUUUUGGCAAAUGAAAAUGGGAGAUGCACUAAUGUUAAUACUGCUUCUUUAAGGAGAGGUAAUUACCCCCAGAAGAUGGAGAGGGGGUUAUUUUCUCAUUCUUCGGAGAAAUAUUUAAAUCCUAGAAUAAUGAAGAUUCACUUUACUUUGACUUUCUUACUAUUUCAUAACCAUAUCCCAUUGAACCAGUUUUUAUCCACGUACUAUUGCAAUAAUUCAUUGACUUUGAUUAUCACAUUACUUUAUUCUCUCACUAUAAAUUUGAAUCACUUUGAAAUAAAGGAAGAAUGAAAUAGAAAAACUGAAAAUAAUAGUUUAAUUCUGGGCUAGCCCCUUCCUUCAAGUUACAAGUUCCAUUUCUUUUACAGGGAAAUUGUUUGUAAAAGGAAGAAAUAUAUUUAGGUUAUCUUUCUUUAAUCUUAUGUGUUUAAGCAUGGAACGAAAUGAAAAUUAAACUAUUCUUUUGAAACUAA